UGGAGAUAAAAAGGGACUGUGAAAAAAAAAUAAUCAAGAAAACAUUUUGACCCAAAAAAAUUGAACUUUUCAAGAAAAUAUUUUGAUGGGUCAUCGUGGAUUUUCAUCUUCAAUGCUAGUCUUCUUAAUCUUGAUUCUUAUUGGGGUUCCAAUAUCAUCAUCAGUCCCCUUCAUUGUUCUCCAUGGAAUUGGAGAUCAGUGUUCGCAUCGUGGAGUCAAACGAUUUACAAAGGAGCUAAGUGAAUGGUCAAAAUCUGAAGGAUAUUGCUUGGAAAUUGGAAAUGGAUCAUGGGACUCCUGGUUUAUGACCUUAGAGGAUCAGGCUGAUGUAGUGUGUAGCAAGGUUAAGAAAAUGAAAGAACUCCAAGAUGGUUACAACAUAGUUGGUCUAUCACAGGGUAACCUAAUAGGCCGAGCUGUUGUGGAAUACUGUGAGGGAGGACCACAGGUUAAGAAUUUGAUUUCCUUAGGAGGACCUCAUGCUGGCACUGCCUCAGUUCCUCUCUGUGGUUCUGGCAUUUUUUGCAUAAUUGCUGAUAAUUUAAUCAAGUCAGAGAUAUACUCUGAUUUUGUCCAGGCUCACUUGGCUCCUAGUGGGUAUCUCAAGCUUCCAAAUAAUAUUCCUGGGUACAUGAAAAGCUGCCGGUUUCUCCCAAAGCUUAACAAUGAAAUCCCCAGUCAUAGAAAUUCCACAUAUAAGAAACGGUUCAGCAGCUUGGAGAAUCUUGUCCUUAUCAUGUUUGAACAUGAUACUGUUUUGAUACCAAAGGAGACUUCAUGGUUUGGAUACUAUCCAGAUGGGGCCUUUGAACCUAUUUUGCCAGCACAGAAGACUCAGCUGUAUACUGAGGAUUGGAUCGGUUUGAAAACCUUGGACGAUGCUGGGAAGGUGAAAUAUGUCAAAGUAGCCGGGAAUCACCUCCAAAUUUCUUCCAGAGAUAUGAAAAAGCAUGUUGUUCCAUACUUGGCAGGGAAUGCAUCAACAGACGGGAGCUUCUCAAACGUGCAACGCAUGGUGGCAUUACAUGAUUUGCAAGACGAUGCAUCAAGUGUUUUUACUUUUGAAGGUUCAUCAUCUUAUAAAUGGCCUGAACCUGUCAAUACCUUCUUCGCGGAACUACUUGGCUUGACCAUAGAUCAACGGUCUAUUGACGCUUGAUUUGGUUGUUUGAUAGUAGAUGACCACGAUAUACAACUUCAUUGAAAUAUAUUAUGGCUUGGCUUUGAUUGGAAGCUUUAUGUUGUCUUGUUGACUCUGUAUGUGCCAAAAUAUUCAAACUCUUGCAAAAAAGAUGUACUAAUAUCAGAUAGCGUUGUUAGCA
rnacentral:misc_RNA from 1 species